CCUACGGGUGGCAGCAGUGAGGAAUAUUGGUCAAUGGGCGGAAGCCUGAACCAGCCAAGUAGCGUGCGGGAUGAAGGCCCUACGGGUCGUAAACCGCUUUUGCACGGGGAUAACACCCUCCACUUGUGGAGGUCUGCAGGUACCGUGCGAAUAAGGGCCGGCUAAUUCCGUGCCAGCAGCCGCGGUAAUACGGAAGUCCCGAGCGUUAUCCGGAUUAAUUGGGCUUAAGGGGUGCGUAGGCGGGCGUUCAAGUCAGCUGGAAAAUCGCGGGGCCCAACCGCGCCCCGCAGUUGAAACUGGACGGCUUGAGUUCAGAAGAGGCAGGCGGAAUUCGUGGUGUAGCGGUGAAAUGCAUAGAUAUCACGAGGAACCCCGAUUGCGAAGGCAGCCUGCCGGGGUGCGACUGACGCUGAGGCUCGAAGGUGCGGGGAGCAAACAGGAUUAGAUACCCCUGUAGUC
rnacentral:rRNA from 1 species